GCAAACUUGGUCAUUUAGAGGAAGUAAAAGUCGUAACAAGGUCUCCGUUGGUGAACCAGCGGAGGGAUCAUUACCGAGUUUACAACUCCCUAACCCAUGUGAACAUACCUAUCGUUGCUUCGGCGGGACUGCCCCGACGCCCCCUCGGGGGCCCGGACCCAGGCGCCCGCCGGGGGACCCAAACCUCUUGUUUUAUGAACGUUUCUUCUGAGUAACACAAGCAAAUAAAUUAAAACUUUCAACAACGGAUCUCUUGGCUCUGGCAUCGAUGAAGAACGCAGC
rnacentral:misc_RNA from 1 species